AUUGAACGCUGGCGGCAUGCCUUACACAUGCAAGUCGAACGGUAACAGGUCUUCGGAUGCUGACGAGUGGCGAACGGGUGCGUAAUACAUCGGAACGUGCCCGAUCGUGGGGGAUAACGAGGCGAAAGCUUUGCUAAUACCGCAUACGAUCUACGGAUGAAAGCGGGGGAUCUUCGGACCUCGCGCGGACGGAGCGGCCGAUGGCAGAUUAGGUAGUUGGUGGGAUAAAAGCUUACCAAGCCGACGAUCUGUAGCUGGUCUGAGAGGAUGAUCAGCCACACUGGGACUGAGACACGGCCCAGACUCCUACGGGAGGCAGCAGUGGGGAAUUUUGGACAAUGGGCGAAAGCCUGAUCCAGCCAUGCCGCGUGCAGGAUGAAGGCCUUCGGGUUGUAAACUGCUUUUGUACGGAACGAAAAGCCUCUUUCUAAUAAAGAGGGGUCAUGACGGUACCGGAAGAAUAAGCACCGGCUAACUACGUG
rnacentral:rRNA from 1 species